rnacentral:rRNA from 1 species
ACGCUGGCGGCACGCCUAACACAUGCAAGUCGAACGAAGUAUCAAUACUUAGUGGCAGACGGGUGAGUAACAUGUGGGUAUCUUCCCUUUGGCCUGGAAUAACACGAGGAAACUUGUGCUAAUACCGGAUAAGUCUUUACGGAGAAAGCUUUAUGCACCAUUGGAUGAGCCCGCACUUGAUUAGUUUGUUGGUGGGGUAAUGGCCUACCAAGACUUUGAUCAAUAGCUGAUUUGAGAGGAUGAUCAGCCACAUUGGGACUGAGACACGGCCCAAACUCCUACGGGAGGCAGCAGUGGGGAAUCUUGCACAAUGGAGGAAACUCUGAUGCAGCGAUGCCGCGUGAGUGAAGAAGGCCUUUGGGUUGUAAAGCUCUUUCGUCGGGGAAGAAAAUGACUGUACCCGAAUAAGAAGGUCCGGCUAACUUCGUGCCAGCAGCCGCGGUAAUACGAAGGGACCUAGCGUAGUUCGGAAUUACUGGGCUUAAAGAGUUCGUAGGUGGUUGAAAAAGUUGGUGGUGAAAUCCCAGAGCUUAACUCUGGAACUGCCAUCAAAACUUUUCAGCUAGAGUUUGAUAGAGGAAAGCAGAAUUUCUAGUGUAGAGGUGAAAUUCGUAGAUAUUAGAAAGAAUACCAAUUGCGAAGGCAGCUUUCUGGAUCAUUACUGACACUGAGGAACGAAAGCAUGGGUAGCGAAGAGGAUUAGAUACCCUCGUAGUCCAUGCCGUAAACGAUGUGUGUUAGACGUUGGAAAUUUAUUUUCAGUGUCGCAGCGAAAGCGAUAAACACACCGCCUGGGGAGUACGACCGCAAGGUUAAAACUCAAAUGAAUUGACGGGGACCCGCACAAGUAGUGGAGCAUGUGGUUUAAUUCGAAGAUACGCGCAGAACUUUACCAACACUUGACAUGUUCGUCGCGACUUUAAGAGAUUAAAGUUUUCGGUUCGGCCGGACGAAACACAGGUGCUGCAUGGCUGUCGUCAGCUCGUGUCGUGAGAUGUUGGGUUAAGUCCCGCAACGAGCGCAACCCUCACUUUUAGUUGCCAUCAUUAAGUUGGGCACUCUGAAAGAACUGCCAGUGAUAAGCUGGAGGAAGGUGGGGAUGACGUCAAGUCCUCAUGGCCCUUACGUGUUGGGCUACACACGUGCUACAAUGGUAUCUACAACAGGAAGCAAGACGGCGACGUUAAGCAAAUCCUUAAAAGAUACCUCAGUUCGGAUUGUACUCUGCAACUCGAGUACAUGAAGCUGGAAUUACUAGUAAUCGUGGAUCAGCGUGCCACGGUGAAUGCGUUCCCGGGUCUUGUACACACCGCCCGUCACACCAUGGGAGUUGGUUCUACCUUAAGGCAAGGUUUAAAACCCUUGACCACGGUAUAGUCAGCGACUGGGGU